AGAGAUUGGUCAGACCAUAGAGUCAUAUAGAAGACAGCGUGCUAGCGUAUCUAUCCUUCUAUACAUAUCUAUGGUCAGCACAUCUGGUAGCAUCUGUGGCUGUUGUUGAUCUUGUUUUUGGAGUAAAAGCACGGUGGAAGCUGAAUUAGUGAGGAUGACUCCUGCUCCUGUCAUCUCUAAGCUCCUCACACAUCUUUACCUGCACAUGAGGAAAAUCACUCCUGUAGAAUGCAGUGGUUCAUCAGAACCUCUGGGGAUGUCCUGUGGAUUCUGUGGAUCCUGUGGGUUGCAGGGUGGGUCCUACCUAGACCAGGCUGAUCCUGGACCAUCCCACAGAUGCUCCAUCAGAUGUGGAUGUGGGGAGUGUGGAACCCAGAUGUUCAGAGGGACAUGAUGCCACAUCUGGUCCAGCCGAUGGAAGGUCUUGAAGUUCUCUGACUGGCCUCGACUGAAGAUGGUCGUCUCACUGGAUUUAAGGUUCAGAUGCUCAGUAACAAACUCCACCAAUGAGCCAACAGGGAGGCUUUAGGUUUAUUAAAUGUUGCUAUGAAGGUAUCGCUGUUUUUCUUUGUGAAUGCAAUGUGCUCCAACUGAAACUUGAAUUAGAACUUAGAAGUAAAUCCUUCCAUCUGAAAGGAUUUAGUUGCAUUAAUAACCUCAUAACAUUCUAAUUUUUAUUUCAGUCUUGGUUGGAAAUAGAAUCUCUGUAUUGAUUCAGGUAAAAACUGAACUUCACAGCAUGUUGGAGCAAAACAACCAGAUGAAAACUGUGAUGGUGUUGGAUUGUCAGACCGUAAUGUUGCAGCUCAAAGCAGCUUUUCUAUCUCAGUUCAUUCUGACAUUCAGCUAUGAAUCAACACAGCAGAUGGUGAUCCAUGCUGUGGAAGCCUCACAUCUCCUGAUUUAAUGGAGCUGCUUUGCACUUUUUACACUGUUUAUUCACCAACACUUUAUUUAAUAAAAGUCCCAUCUAGUUUUUAUGAGGAAUGUGAUGUUUUAAUUUCUCUGUGAAUAACUGCAGUCUAAUGCAACAGCUGGAGUUGUAACAUCUGUCCUGAUAUUGAUCAUGAAGUAUUGAUCAGAAUACUUAUGGUUAGCAGUCAUCCCUGAAGUUUUACAUUAAAAUCUUUACUUGUGUUGUGAACUUUGGUAAGAAGCAGAAACUUUAGCGUUGCCAUGGAUACAUGUGUUAAAUUCUGUCCAUGUUUCCAUUUUGGGAAAUGCAGUCCAGCAGAUGAGUUUGUUUUUACUGCCAGCUACCAUUCAGUCUGCGAUAUUAAGAAUAAAUAAAUGUGCAUAAUGUGGAAAUGAACAGAUUCAAUUUUUAUUUAUUCCUACAGCUGCUCCAGGGAAUGUUCUAGAAUGUGGAGGAAUUUAGUCCCACAAUCACAGACAAUAAAUAAUAUCUGAAAGUCAGGUUAUUGUUGUUUAUCAGCACAAUAUAAAAAGAUUAAUGUUAGAAAUAUUCCAGUUAAGACUCUAGAAUAUCAGGAUUUAUGUAAAUUCACCUCAAUAAUAUGAAUGUUCAGGUUAAGAUUGUACAGGGAUAUUUAUUAUGUAAGUUAGGCUGAUUAAAGUUUAUGACUCUGCACUACAGUAUUAUUAUUUAUUUAAAUUUGCAUCAUUAUUAUAAUAUUUAGGGUCAGACCCUAUGGUAUUGAGAUUAAGAAAUCAAAUAUUCUAUAAAUUGUAAAUGCACUGAACUCAUUUGGAUAUAUUUAAGUGAGACUCUACAAUAUUAUUUAUGACACAAAUCUAUCUAAAUCCAAAUUUUAAUCAUUUUUACUUCAAACAUUUACUGGACUAAUUUAAUUAUUAAAAUCACUCCUUUCUAAUCCUCUGCUGUACGUUUAAACCUGAGGCCUUAAAUAGAAACACACAAGUAUCUGAUUGAAGGAACUUCUGCAGAGUCCUGGUUCCAGAACAUGAUGAUAGAAUUAUAGACAAACUUUACCAAAAGCUGCCUGAGAGUUUACAGGUUUUAUGUUAGAUUUCUUCAGUAAUUUAAUGAGAGUUAUCAGCAAAAAUCAAGGGUUCAAUUGAUGAACUUCAUUUCCUAAAACAUCCAGAAUUGGAGCUCAUAUCUUUGGCAGCUGUAAAAUUUCUGCUCCUUCAACGUUCACAAAAUGAAUUGAUUCCUGAAACACUUUCAAUGCUGGAGAGCGUUUGUGAUGCUGAAGCAGUGACCAGUUUUUCUGUUUCUUCUCUGGAGAUGCACAAUGAGGGACGUCUGCAGCGACUGAGAAAGAGUCUCACCACAUCCUGACAUGAGGAAAAAGACUUUAUUGAAGACUACAAUGAGAAAAACUAUCAGACAGCAGACUGCUGCAUUCAAGGUGAGCUCUGAACAUUUGAUCUGGAACAGGAAUUCAAUAAUGGCAGCAUGAGCUUCAUUUCAGUCUGUAGCUGCUGAAUUCAUGGAUGAAUCAUCUGGCACUAGAGAAGAAGACCAUCAAACAUCCACGUCAGCUGAUGGAGGUCCAAGAGUCUCACCAAACAAACAACCUACAGAGUGAAGACCUCGAAUCUGAUUGGACGGCCUCCUAUUCAGCCACAUGUGUGAACAAAUGCCUCUAAGCUGAUUUGUUUUCUAAAAUAAAUCUAGUUUGAGUCCUAA